GCCCCUGGCGGGGUUUCGCUUUGGCUUUGGCUCUGCGCAGGCCAGCUCUGGGAAGCCGAGGGGAGGGAAAGGGAAGAAGUUGCAAGAGUUUGUUCCAGGCCUCCCGGAGCCGUGCUGGGAGACCUAGCGCGUGGGGAGCCUGCGGGCUCGGUAGGUGGCGCGUGCCGCUCUGGAUCUCGGGUGAUUUUAUUUAUUUACUCAUGAGAGGCAGAGACACAGGCAGAGGGAGAAGCAGGCUUCCCGCAAGGAGUCUGAUGCAGGACUCGAUCCUCCACCCCGGAAUCAGGACCUGAGCCAAAGGAAGACCCUCAACUGCGGAGCCAUCCAGGCAUCCUGAAGUUGGUCAAAUACUAUAGAGUAGUUACAUCAGCUUGUUUUUCCUUAAUUUGUUCAUCUUCCUGUACGUUUUGUGAUAGUCUCCUUUUUUACAUACUGUAUGUGGAGCUUAUCUAUUUGAAACCACAUUUUAAAAUCCUUUUCUUUCAUUUGGAACAUUAGUCCUUAAUAAAAUGUAACUACUAAUAAAUGGGGAUUUAUGGCUAACAUCUUAUUUUUUUCAGUGUUUAUCUCUUCCUAAUUCAUAAACUAGUAUAUUGAUUGCCUCUAUUCCAUCAACCUCAUAUCUAGGCUUUAUUUCCUUUUUUAUGUUGGACACAAUGGUAAACUCUAAUCACUGAUUCCUUGCUUUCAGUGUAAUGAUAUUUUGUAUAUUUUUCAUAUUUUUAUUCUUGUUUUGUGAGCACUGACGCUGGGCAUUCUUCACUUAUUCAGAAAUGGUUCUCAAGUUACUUUGUUAAUCAUGUUUGCUGUGAUUUUGAGUGGCUUUUCUUUGUACAGUUAAAGAUCUUUUAAAACAUAUAUCAUCAAGACUAUUCAUGAUCAUCAUUAAAUGUUUGGUAUGCAUCUA